UACAGAGGUCUCAAGCGUUGUUCGGAUUCAUUGGGCGUAAAGGGUGCGUAGGUGGUGCCGCAAGUCAGGUGUGAAAUCUCGGGGCUCAACCCCGAAACUGCACUUGAUACUGCGGGUCUCGAGUCCGGGAGAGGUGAGUGGAAUUCCUGGUGUAGCGGUGAAAUGCGUAGAUAUCAGGAGGAACACCGGUGGCGAAGGCGGGUCUCUGGGCCGAUAUUGACGCUGAGGAGCGAAAGCGUGGGGAGCGAACAGG
rnacentral:rRNA from 1 species